rnacentral:rRNA from 1 species
AUGCCCAUAUCCAUAUGGUGCACAUACAAGCUACUAAGCUUAGGUCAAAAUAUCACAAAUCCAGUGCCCAAGUUAAUUCAACCUAGAAUCCAAGAUGAUCCAAUGGGGCACAUACAAGCUACUAAGCUUAGGUCAAAAUAUCACAAAUCCAAGUGCCCAAGUUAUCUCCAACCUAGAAUCCAAGUAGCAAUAUCCAAGAUGAUCCCAAUAGUUCACCAAUACCGUAGUCAUGCUAAUUGUAUACUACACCUAUAUAAAUUCAAUAUAUCUCAGGUUGAUCAUACUACACCCAAAAGUUCUCCGGGUUCAAUCUUCAAAGAUGGGAAUCUAGACCAAAUCAUAAUCAUGACCCGACCAAGCCCAGUAUCACGGUUUCGAAGUCCAAUAUAA